ensembl:lncRNA MIR924HG MIR924 host gene
GUGUGGAACUUGGGAUUCGAACGGCAGGCGGGAAGUGCUCUAGCAGGGGAGUCUGACCUUGUGAGGGAAUACCUGUGUCCCCCCUUUUUUCCCCUUUUUACCCAAUAAAACCCUGCCUUACUCACCCUUUAAAUCAUCUGCGAGCCUGAAUUUUCAUGGCCGUGGGACGGACAAGAACUUUAUCUUCAGCUGAACUAAGAAAAAGUCCUGCAACAUUUUUGGCGCGCAAUGUGGGGGCACCAGAAGCGGGCACCGUUGAGCUGUUGCAACUGUUCUGCUGGAGCCUUAUGUAUGUGGUUGAAACCACCUGUACUACUGGAAUGAAAGCACCUUUACAGAAGAGGCAAUGCAAGUUGUAUUCAUCACAUGUGUAGAAUGAAUUAAGAUUUAUGCCAGUUGCAAAGAAGAAUAUUGGCUCACUAUUUUUCCUCUGGGCAUGUUGAACCUAUUUCUUUAUCUUGAUUCAAAUAGAUUUCUAUCCAAUACAAAUAUUGGCAAAAUAAAUGAAGCAAAGUAAAUGCAGAAUGGACUGAGGUGGAAAUGUAAAUCAGUCCAUGUUACUCACCUCGGAGAAGCAGAAGUACGAUUUACUAUUGUUGCUUGCUUACUUACUCUUAUCAAUUUCUAUGAGAGCAGCAUAUGAUCCCCUGUUGAAGACAGACAAGUACAUCUUUCUGGUGGCUCCUAGACCUGGCAUUGGGAACAGAAGAUUAUCAGUAUGAUCCGUACGCUUAAGGAAAGAUCUCAUAUUAUUGAAAUGAAUAUUUUAUUUGAUAAAUUGAACUACAGAAUAAAGUACUUUUAACAAAC